rnacentral:rRNA from 1 species
CCUACGGUCGGCAGCAGUGGGGGAUAUUGCACAAUGUGGGAAACCCUGAUGCAGCGACGCCGCGUGUGGGAAGACGGUCCUCUGGAUUGUAAACCACUGUCCCCAGGGACGAAGAUGACGGUACCUGGGGGGAAACUCCGGCUAACUACGUGCCAGCCGCCGCGGUUAUACGUAGGGAGCGAGCGUUUUCCGGAAUUACUGGGUGUAAAGGGAGCGUAGGCGGGACUGCAAGUUGGGUGUCAAAUCUACCGGCUCAACCGGUAGCCGCACUCAAAACUGCAGUUCUUGAGUGAAGUAGAGGCAGGCGGAAUUCCUAGUGUAGCGGUGAAAUGCGUAGAUAUUAGGAGGAACACCAGUGGCGAAGGCGGCCUGCUGGGCUUUUACUGACGCUGAGGCUCGAAAGUGUGGGGAGCAAACAGGAUUAGAGACCCGAGUAGUC